rnacentral:rRNA from 1 species
CGGUAACGCGGAGAGAAGCUUGCUUCUCUCCGGCGACGAGUGGCGAACGGGUGAGUAAUACAUCGGAACGUGUCCGCUCGUGGGGGACAACCAGCCGAAAGGUUGGCUAAUACCGCAUGAGUUCUACGGAAGAAAGAGGGGGACCCGCAAGGGCCUCUCGCGAGCGGAGCGGCCGAUGACUGAUUAGCCGGUUGGUGAGGUAACGGCUCACCAAAGCAACGAUCAGUAGCUGGUCUGAGAGGACGACCAGCCACACUGGGACUGAGACACGGCCCAGACUCCUACGGGAGGCAGCAGUGGGGAAUUUUGGACAAUGGGCGCAAGCCUGAUCCAGCUAUUCCGCGUGUGGGAUGAAGGCCCUCGGGUUGUAAACCACUUUUGUAGAGAACGAAAAGACACCUUCGAAUAAAGGGUGUUGCUGACGGUACUCUAAGAAUAAGCACCGGCUAACUACGUGCCAGCAGCCGCGGUAAUACGUAGGGUGCGAGCGUUAAUCGGAAUUACUGGGCGUAAAGGGUGCGCAGGCGGUUGAGUAAGACAGAUGUGAAAUCCCCGAGCUUAACUCGGGAAUGGCAUAUGUGACUGCUCGACUAGAGUGUGUCAGAGGGAGGUGGAAUUCCACGUGUAGCAGUGAAAUGCGUAGAUAUGUGGAAGAACACCGAUGGCGAAGGCAGCCUCCUGGGACAUAACUG